AGUGAACGCUGGCGGUAGGCCUAACACAUGCAAGUCGAACGGCAGCACAGUAAGAGCUUGCUCUUACGGGUGGCGAGUGGCGGACGGGUGAGGAAUACAUCGGAAUCUACUUUUUCGUGGGGGAUAACGUAGGGAAACUUACGCUAAUACCGCAUACGACCUACGGGUGAAAGCAGGGGAUCUUCGGACCUUGCGCGAUUGAAUGAGCCGAUGUCGGAUUAGCUAGUUGGCGGGGUAAAGGCCCACCAAGGCGACGAUCCGUAGCUGGUCUGAGAGGAUGAUCAGCGACACUGGAACUGAGACACGGUCAAGACUCCUACGGGAGGCAGCAGUGGGGAAUAUUGGACAAUGGGCGCAAGCCUGAUCCAGCAAUACCGCGUGGGUGAAGAAGGCCUUCGGGUUGUAAAGCCCUUUUGUUGGGAAAGAAAAGCAGCAGGUUAAUACCCCGCUGUUCUGACGGUACCCAAAGAAUAAGCACCGGCUAACUUCGUG
rnacentral:rRNA from 1 species